UAAAAUAACUAUGGAAGUGGCGCUACUAGGUACGAAUUUACGUAACAAAUAAGUCAACGUUGACUUCUAGCUUCACUCAGGACACAAACAGCGGUUCUCCCUGGAAAGUCCGGGUGUUUUCUCGACCCACCAGUCCACCCUGACUUCCUCCCUACUUGGACUUAUACUGCAUCACAUCACAAGUAUGUGGAUUAAAUUACAAAUUGAUUUUGUGGGUUAUACAAUGCAAAUACAAAUGAUAGUGCAUUACUUUCGUAGGUAUGUGAACAUUGCAUGAGAACAGUCUGACGUGGCAUGUGAGUACAGUACUGUGUUCAGAUAGACUGAAGAAAUUCCAAACCCCUCCUUCAAGGCUUAUCCAAACAGCAGGGAAUUAUAGUACAAUGAGGACAUAUUCUACAACUCUGAAUAGUAGAUCAUGGUGGGAAUCAUUUUAUCCUCUGUCUAGAUGUGUACAGUAGUACCAUUCUUUAAAAGGAAUUGCACUUGCACCUAUUUGAUUGGCCCAAUGCCAGUGCGUCUCCAGAGGAUGCUGGAUUGUUAUUGCAGCAAAAGUUGAGUCAGGUUGGAAUUUUUCUUGUAGGACGACCGCUGCAUUUUUGUUUAGUUUUUUGCCAGAGCCUGCUGCGGACAGCGCAGUGAGGGAGAUCCGUUUUUAGUGCUAAUGUCAGUCUGAACACGCCUUAUUCAGAAGUGAUGAUAUUAUCACGUCUCACCAGAAGCUGUACCAAAAAAACAAUACUGCAAAAAAAUAAUUCUUUGUAAAGCAUUUAGCCUAAAGCAGGGUAGUGUCUAAACCAGGUCAGAAACCUUUGACAAGUUCUGUCAUUUCAUCCACACAAACCAGAAACUUGAUGUACUUUUUUUGUCUUUAUUUUUAGAACAUGUUGAACACGCCGUUCCACAUGGCUGGGAACAUAAGUCACUAUCAGCUGAUGUAAAUAUUUUUUUGUAAAUCUAGCGUUUCUUGAGAAGAGUGCAAGUUUAACAGUGUAGUGUGUGUGGGGUGUGCGCAUGAUUUAUACAGUAUAAAAGUAUUUAUGAGUAUAUUAUACUCAGGACACAUUCAAACCAGAAGCAACAGUCUUAUGUGACAGUGUGUGGGACGUGAUAAAGAUGUUGUUUCUACCUGUGUGUUUUCAAAAGGGAGGUUGGGAAACUGGCUGGGGUUACAAGCUGCUGGUUCUUUCUGCCCUUUUUUUCUACCAUCAUCCUGGUGGAGUCUCUCCCCUUUUUAUUUUGCCAUUGUAAGUGAAGAAGAGAAAGUAUAACUCCACCAGGAUGAUGGGUAAGUUAUCAUGCCAUAUUACCAGAACAGACAUAAAUAUGUUUUCUGAAACAAAUAGUGUGAGUCUGAUAUGUGAGGAUUCUUCCAAAGGGCAGGUUUUCUUUACUGUUUCAAUGAAGAGUAUUGAAACAAAAGUGUACAUUCCUGUGUCACAAUUUUUCUAAAUAAUUUUCUUUUCUUCCAGUCAGCAAUCGUAUAUUUGGGGAUGGGUAAUUUUUUGUAUAAUGAUUUUUGAAUGUCUCAAUAUUCUCAUCAUUAAUACAACUGUGAUGACUUACAGCACUUGGUUACUCACACAACAAGUAAAGUGAUAUAUUUUUUAAGAAAAAUAUUAUUUUCCCCCUCUGAAAAAAGGUGUUCUUCUGCCAAUGUUUGAGGUAAACGUUACAUUUCAGACACAGGGAUAUACUCAUAGUAUUCUAAGCAACAGGUAUCAGUAUCACGCAUACAGUUUUUUUAUGUCAGAUCUGCAGGACAGUUCCUCAACAGAAUCAUAAAGCUUUCAUUUAUGGCAGUCACAGUUCUGAUUUGCAGCAAGCGAUUCAAGUACAUUAUGAAGUCUUCAUAAGUCAUUUACUGUGUAGUAAUACACCAUAUUUUUUUAUAACAGUGGAAAAGCCAGAGACUUAAGGCAAAUAUAACUCCUUUAUGUACCAUUUACGUUGUGUAUUUAUGUGUGACACAUUUUCAUAUAUGACUCCAAAGGGUUUGUGAAGUCCCCUGUGACACUUUGGUGACAUGUUGUAUAGUAUGACAGAAGCAUUAAGGGCAGUGUCUGUAGGUUUUCUUUAUACUGUACUGUAUUUAACUUUGGUAGUCCACUGCUGUUUGAAUGUAACUGGUUGUUCUGUGAAAAAACAUAUACAUUUAUAUUUACAUACAAUGUGUCUUUUUUUAUUAUUUCACUGAAUUAGACAAUGUUGCUAUCUUGUGUGAAUCUGCAUCCUAAUACUGUAUAGCACAGCACCAUC